rnacentral:tRNA from 4 species
GGAAGGGUGGCUGAGUGGUCUAAAGCGCAUGCUUGGAGAGCAUGAGUCGGGGAAACUCGACCGCGAGUUCGAAUCUCGCCCCUUCCG